rnacentral:rRNA from 1 species
GACGAACGCUGGCGGCGUGCCUAAUACAUGCAAGUAGAACGCUGAAGAGAGGAGCUUGCUCUUCUUGGAUGAGUUGCGAACGGGUGAGUAACGCGUAGGUAACCUGCCUUGUAGCGGGGGAUAACUAUUGGAAACGAUAGCUAAUACCGCAUAACAAUGGAUGACACAUGUCAUUUAUUUGAAAGGGGCAAUUGCUCCACUACAAGAUGGACCUGCGUUGUAUUAGCUAGUAGGUGAGGUAACGGCUCACCUAGGCGACGAUACAUAGCCGACCUGAGAGGGUGAUCGGCCACACUGGGACUGAGACACGGCCCAGACUCCUACGGGAGGCAGCGGUAGGGAAUCUUCGGCAAUGGGGGCAACCCCUGACCGAGCAACGCCCGCGUGAGUGAAAGAAAGGUUUUUCGGAUUCGUAAAAGCUUCUGUUGUAAAGUCAAAGAAACGAAGGG